GCCAGGUGCAGUGGCUUAUGCCUGUAAUCCUGGCAGCUUGGGAGGCUGAGACAGGAGGAUCACAAGUUCAAGGCCAGCCUCCUCAUCAACUUAUUGAGACCCUAUCUCAA
rnacentral:sRNA from 1 species